GUAGGGAAUAUUGGACAAUGGGCGAAAGCCUGAUCCAGCAAUGCCGCGUGAGUGAUGAAGGCCUUAGGGUUGUAAAGCUCUUUUACCAGGGAUGAUAAUGACAGUACCUGGAGAAUAAGCUCCGGCUAACUCCGUGCCAGCAGCCGCGGUAAUACGGAGGGAGCUAGCGUUGUUCGGAAUUACUGGGCGUAAAGCGCGCGUAGGCGGCGAUUUAAGUCAGAGGUGAAAGCCCGGGGCUCAACCCCGGAAUAGCCUUUGAGACUGGAUUGCUAGAAUCAUGGAGAGGUGAGUGGAAUUCCGAGUGUAGAGGUGAAAUUCGUAGAUAUUCGGAAGAACACCAGUGGCGAAGGCGGCUCACUGGACAGGUAUUGACGCUGAGGUGCGAAAGCGUGGGGAGCAAACAGGAUUAGAAACCCCUGUAGUCC
rnacentral:rRNA from 1 species